AUUUAAUCCAAAUUGACAGACUUGCGUCCAGUUUUUUACACUGCAAUCCCACUGAAAGCGCGAUAAAAAAUGGAUAAAUAUCUUUGAGCAACAUUAACUGGAUAAGUUCGUACUAUCUCACCAGUAAGCAAGUCAUAUACUACAAAAAGGAUCAAGUUUCAUGAGAAUUGAAAAUUA